rnacentral:tRNA from 1 species
GGAGAGGUACCCAAGAGGCUCAAGGGGACUCAUUGCUAACGAGUUAGUGGGGUAAAACCCAGCGGGAGUUCGAAUCUCCCCCUCUCCG